rnacentral:rRNA from 1 species
CCCGUAGAUGUUCUGGGCCGCACGCGUGCUACACUGAGUGGAUCAGCGGGUCAGGUUGCGCGAAAGCGUUUCCUAAUCUUUAAAUCCGCUCGUGAUGGGGAUUGACGGUUGCAAUUUUCUGUCAUGAACGAGGAAUACCUUGUAAGCGCGGGUCAUCAUCCCGCGCUGAAUACGUCCCUGCCCUUUGUACACACCGCCCGUCGCUCCUACCGAUUGAGUGGUCCGGUGAGGCUUUGGGAUCUGAGCGGAAAGAGCGUUUCGCUGUUUCUGCUCGGAAAACUCAGUCGAACCUUAUCAUUUAGAGGAAGGAGAAGUCGUAACA